rnacentral:rRNA from 1 species
CGGGUGAUCUACCCAUGGGCAGGCUGAAGCGAGGGUAAGACCUCGUGGAGGGCCGAACCCACCAGGGUUGAAAACCUGGGGGAUGACCUGUGGGUAGGGGUGAAAGGCCAAUCAAACCCGGUGAUAGCUGGUUCUCCCCGAAAUGCCUUUAGGGGCAGCCUCGGGCGUUCAGCAUCGGAGGUAGAGCACUGAUUGGGUGAGGGGGCCCACAAGCUUACCGACCUCAGUCAAACUCCGAAUGCCGAUGCUCCAGAGCCCGGGAGUGAGGCUGCGGGGGCUAAGCUCCGUAGCCGAGAGGGAAACAACCCAGAUCGCCAGCUAAGGCCCCGAAAUCCGUGCUAAGUGGAGAAGGAUGUGGGAUUGCCGAGACAACCAGGAGGUUGGCUUAGAAGCAGCCACCCUUGAAAGAGUGCGUAACAGCUCACUGGUCAAGUGGUCCUGCGCCGACGAUGUAGCGGGGCUCAAGCACGGUGCCGAAGCUGCGGGAUCCUUCAUAUGGCUCGGCGUACGCGGGAGGCCGCGUACGUCCAGGCCGAGGGAUCGGUAGGGGAGCGUUCUCACGCGAGUGAAGCGGCGGGGUAACCCAGCGGUGGACGCGUGAGAAGUGAGAAUGCCGGCAUGAGUAGCGAAAGACGGGGGAGGAGCCCGUCCGCCGAAUGCCCAAGGGUUCCUGGGGAAGGUUCAUCCGCCCAGGGUUAGUCGGGCCCUAAGCCGAGGCCGAGAGGCGUAGGCGAUGGACGACUGGUUGAUAUUCCAGUACCACCUCAUCCGCGCCCAGCCCGAAUCCAGGGCACUAAGGGAACCCCUUCGGGGGCUACCGACACACCUGGUACUAGGGCAGCGAAGGGGGGACGCAGGAGGGUAGGUCGACCCACGCGAUGGUCGUCGUGGGGCAAGUGCGUAGGGGGGUCCCCCAGGCAAAUCCGGGGGGCCGUAACCCUGAGACACGAUGCCGAGCCGUUUCAGGCGAAGCGACCGAUCCCACGCUGCCGAGAAAAACCUCUAGCGAGCGAAUGAGGUGCCCGUACCCCAAACCGACUCAGGUGGGCCGGUAGAGAAUACCGAGGCGAUCGAGAGAACCCUGGUUAAGGAACUCGGCAAAUUACCCCCGUAACUUCGGGAGAAGGGGGACCACGGUAGGGUGAAGGACCUCGCGUCCGGAGCCCGACGUGGUGGCACAAACCAGGCCCAAGCGACUGUUUACUAAAAACACAGGUCCGUGCAAAGUCGCAAGACGACGUAUACGGACUGACGCCUGCCCGGUGCCGGAACGUUAAGGGGAGGGGUCAGUCACCUUCGGGUGGCGAAGCUCCAAACCUAAGCGCCGGUAAACGGCGGCCGUAACUAUAACGGUCCUAAGGUAGCGAAAUUCCUUGUCGGGCAAGUUCCGACCUGCACGAAUGGCGUAACGACUUGGGCGCUGUCUCAACCAGGGACUCGGCGAAAUUGCAGUACGAGUAAAGAUGCUCGUUACCCGCGGCAGGACGGAAAGACCCCGGGACCUUUACUGCAUCUUGGUGUUGGGUUCUGGCAUGCGUUGCGUAGGAUAGGCGGGAGGCUGCGAAGCCCCGGUUUCGGCCGGGGUGGAGCCAACCUUGAAAUACCGCCCUUCGCGUGUUGGGACUCUAACCUUGGCCCGUGAUCCGGGUCGGGGACAGCGCCUGGUGGGCAGUUUAACUGGGGCGGUUGCCUCCUAAAGUGUAACGGAGGCGCCCAAAGGUUCCCUCAGCCUGGUUGGCAAUCAGGCGUCGAGUGCAAGGGCACAAGGGAGCUUGACUGUGAGAUCGACGGAUCGAGCAGAUGCGAAAGCAGGGCCUAGUGAUCCGACGGCGCUCUGUGGUAGGGCCGUCGCUCAACGGCUAAAAGGUACCCCGGGGAUAACAGGCUGAUCGCUCCCAAGAGUCCAUAUCGACGGAGCGGUUUGGCACCUCGAUGUCGGCUCGUCUCAUCCUGGGGCUGGAGCAGGUCCCAAGGGUCGGGCUGUUCGCCCGUUAAAGAGGCACGCGAGCUGGGUUUAGAACGUCGUGAGACAGUUCGGUCCCUAUCCGCCGUGGGCGCAGGAGACUUGCGGGGAGCUGCCCCUAGUACGAGAGGACCGGGGCGGACGGACCUCUGGUGUGCCAGUUGUCGCGCCAGCGGCACGGCUGGUUAGCCACGUCCGGCAGAGAUAAGCGCUGAAAGCAUCUAAGUGCGAAGCUCGCCUCAAGAUGAGGUCUCCCACGGGGUUGACCCGGUAAGGCCCCUCGUGGACUACGAGGUUGAUAGGCCGGAGGUGGAAGCACGGCAACGUGUUGAGCCGACCGGUACUAAUAGGCCGAGGACUUGGCUU